rnacentral:lncRNA from 1 species
CUGGCUAAACAAGUUUUAAGCGAUAAUCUCUUUGGUCCUUAGUGCCAACAGAGGAGAGCGAAGCAGCAAGGUAAGUUCCUGCAAACCCAUUCUUUGCAAACACAUAAAAGACGCGAUUUCAACAGCCGAAGGUACGGCAUCAACUGGGGAGAUCUAGCUUGACCUUCAGAUCCUAAAGUAAAACUGGAAGGAGAAGACCCCUCAAGACCAUUCCCUAGGCGCACAGUACCGCUACAACAGCGGUCGGUGAGAAACACCACGCACCAAACCUCCCAGUACCAUUUUCUCGUCUUUCUUUUAAGCUAAAGCGCAUUCGAACAUACAGUUAAGAGGAAGCAGCUUGAACUUGGAAGACGCCCCAGGAAUUACUCUCCUAGAAAAAAAGCAGUGUAAGAGGGAAUACCCAGAGGCCACAUUGUCUCUCCUAAGUCAAGGCUGCCGCCUUGGCUUGAAACACCGACUGCAGACUUUGAUCGGCAAAUUUUACACGCUCUCUGGCACGAAAACAGCCGGACGGCACCCGAGCCCUCUAGAUCAUAGCCGGAGCCGGGCAAAGCGGCAAGAGGUAAAUCACGCUUUUGAGAAUCUUUUUUUUCUCCCCCCCCCCCCCCCCCCCCCUCCCNNAAUCUUUUUUUUCCCCCCCCCCCCCCCCCGCCGCAUUUCCUUUAAGACCCCAUCCAGUCCUACCGGGAAGGUCAGGCGACAGCGGCGGCACCUCCUCCGGGAGGCAGAGGCGAGGGCAAGCCGCCCGGGAAAGCACCUGGUACCCGCCGAGCCGCGGCGUGCCGUGCCGCGGGCACCGAGGCAGCCCGGCCGGGCACCCCCCGCCCCGCUCCCUCCCGCGGGAGAAGCCGGCAGAGCUGGAGAAGCCGGCAGAGCUGGGGCUGCCUCCCCCCCGCGUCCCCGCCGCCGCCGCCGGCCGCUCCCGUCGCUGCCGCCCGGCGGGGGGCGGGGGGUGCCGGGCGAAGGCACUUACUUUCCCGGAAUCAUUUACGAGCCUGUUGAAAAGUGAAAUAAAACCUGAUAAGUCAGCAAAACAGGAAAUACGAACGGGUGGACGUAACGCCCAGAGGACGCAGCCGAACAGCGCUACAAGAACCGGAGUCAGGGUGUCAUAUGUGUACUGCCAGACCACCCGGACGAGUUCGGGGCAUGGAGAUUUCAAGGGCAGGACUUCAAAAGAAAAGCAUUUAAGUUUUCCGUAUAAAGUGUUGAAGACAGCGGAACAAGUUUGGCGAACAAAGUGGUGCCACAAAUGCUCAAAGGUAUCUCUGUACCCUUUCUUGAAGUCCACCGAUAAGGCCUAACUGCGAAUUGGAGCAGACUGGGGAGCUGGCGAGGACUUCCAGCUGGGCAUCCAAAUAGCUGAAAAUGGCUCGAUGCAGCUCACACCCUGUGGGCUUAAGAGAAGAACCUGAAUCAUGUCAGUAGGCCUUACAGGUCUUUGGCACUGAUGUGGAGGCCCGCCACUCAUCCUGAUGUGCAACUGACACCAUCACUUCACUCAAGUAUGUGUGCUGCAGUCCUGUCUCCAGGCUGUGACUCCAACACACUGGCUGCUACCUUGAUCCCAUAGGAGACUCGGUCCGUAGAAGCAGUCGGACCAUAAUCUGUCACGUUUCUAGAGUGGUCCCAGAUGUCCCCAGACAUCUGCAGAGCUCUGAAAAGCAGUGGGCAGUAGUUGCUUCUCUUCUUUGAAUUAUAUAAUCAAUGAUUAAAAUAAUGUCAUGUAGAUACUCUGUCUAAGACCAGCCUCUCAAAAUAUUGUAGAGUGAAACAGCAAGGAAUUCCUUCAAGUUCUAUUAAUAAAAAGUUGGUAAAUGUUUUCUCCCUUCCCCCAACUUACUUAAAGGUGUUUAAAAAGAAACAACAACAACAACAAACCACAAAACAACCUUUUUCCCUAUGAAAAGUUUAUACAACAGGGAAAGAUCUGAUUUAAUUUACAUUGUCUUGGGUUUGGGGAAUUUUUUUGGUUGGAAAUUUGGAUUCCAGAAGUUUAUGUAAAAUGAGUUAUUUCUGUUUGGAAGUGCUAUCAUGGAGGCUCAAAAGAAUGUACUGUUAGUGCCUCAUGUUUCCAUUUUCCUCUAUAGGCUAAGUACCUUGAUCUUGUAUCUUUCUUCUUGGAGGGGAGAAAUGGUGCACAGAUCCCACAUCUGUCUUGGCCUCCCUCCUUUCCUCCCUGUUUCUUCUUUUCAUUAUCAAGCGUUCCACUGGGUUUAAAAUCCACCUUCUCCUAUCAAAGUGUUAGUGAAAAUAAAACAAAAUUUAGUUUUAUAAACGCACGAUAGAGUCUAGGGGUAUAGUAAAAGACAAUCUUACCUAUACUGUGAAUAAUUUGGGAAAACUUAAAACGUGCUGAAUUACCCUUAAUAGGCUGCUGUGCAAGAGUAGAUUGAGGAGGCAUAGCACAAACUCAUCAGUUCUGCCCUGGAAGAACUAAUAUGAAGAAGGGUUGGAGUAGAAUAAAUACACUGUGCUUUAUAAGAAGAAAAAACAAAGAAAGGUUGUUAGUAUAAUUCGAAAUAAGUCAUGGGUUUAUGCAUCCUUGUUCCCACUGAUAAGAAGAAUAUGUAAAAAAUCUACCUUAGAAUGUGUAAGCAGGAAAGGAACUCUCUCUCUCACUAUGUAUUUACCAAAAGGGAAAGAAAGCUGGUUCCAGCCUCCCUACGUCUGUAGAUGUGCUGUUAGUCACAUGUUUUAAAUGUCUUUGCAUAUGGAUCAAGAAAGUUGGGGGUGGUGUAAAAUGGGGCAAGAAAAAAACUUCAAGCCUGUCACUGAAGUGGAAGUCCUUGUAUGAAGGACUGUGAGUCACGUUAGCCUGCUAGCGUUCCGCUCAGCGAUUGAUUUUCCGCUUUGGGCCAGCUUGACUCCCAGACCGCGUCUCUACUGCUGAAUGAAGCGUGGCUGCAAGACAGUGCUCCAGUCCUGAAGCCAGCCAGGGCUGUAAGAGCCCAUGUCCGUGCUCUUGGCAUCCAGAACGCGGGGACUACACCAAACUGCUGGUUGAAUAGUCCCUUGGCCCAGGCUGACUUCCAGAUCAGCUCUGGAAAUUUUUUAAAAGCAGUAAGUGGCCUGGGCCAGGGAUCAAUCCAGCAAUUUGCCAGUAGACUCAGAGGAAUGUCCAGCAAUAUUUCCUUGGGCACCAUUGAUUACUGGCCUAUAUGUAGCCCUGCAGACUCCAGACCAAUCCAGCUACGCACCCGUGUAGGUAGCUGCUGACCAUUGCUUGGAUUGCAUCCCGGAGCAUGAAGUGGCACAAACUGUAGAGGACAGUGGCUCUGGGCAGUAAAUCAAACUUUGUCACAGCCACUGAAAACAGGCAGCAAACUUCACUCUAUGUCUUUAUAUAUUCCUUAAUCUUAUCGUUGCUAAGCACUUUCUACAGUAUGCUUGAACCCCAAAGCAGAGCAGAAAUAGAAGACUACUACUUAGUCAUGAAAACAUAAGUGGCACAGCCAGAGCAGUAAUUUGAGAGAGAUCCCAAGGAACACCUGGGUUCAUUCAAUUAAAAAAAAAGUAGAGAAAAAUAAUUUUGUACAAAAAUAGGUUUACAGGUAUUUAAAUUCUUCAUAGAAGAACAGGGAAGGAGAGAGCAAAGAAACGUGGCUUUUUUGAAUGAGUCAGGGUUUUGGAAACUUGUUCUCAAUUUAUUGACACAGUAAAAUAUAUUUUCUCCAGAAAUUCCAGCAUUUACAUGGUCACUGCUUGCAUUGUUUUUCUGUAUUUUAUUUCUUCCUCAAGGGAUUAUCACUAAGUAGUUAAAGUCCAAAUUGUUAACCUGCUUUGCAAUAAUGUAGCAAUUUUUAAACAAGUAGUGAAGAGUGGAUGGUAAAAAAUGAGAUCCAAGUCACACAGUCGUUCUUCACACAAUGUUGCUGGAGAAAAAAAAGCCAAACCAAAACAAAACUCCAGAAAAUAAAAGCAGUAUGUUUUGGCAUUCAUUUUGCAUUGUCUCUUUUCUUAUUGUAACCUAUGAUUUUAGAGAAAUCCAUAUUGACCUACGUAAGAAGAAUAUUUACAAAUUUUAUUCUAAUGAAUGUGCUCUUCAUGUGAUAAAGAUGGUUUGCUUUUGUUUGUUUGUUCAAAGAAAAAUAAUAUAGGAAAUAAAC